rnacentral:siRNA from 1 species
UGGGCUACGUUUGGUCAAUGUCGA